UACGUAGGGUGCAAGCGUUAAUCGGAAUUACUGGGCGUAAAGCGUGCGCAGGCGGCUAUGCAAGACAGAUGUGAAAUCCCCGGGCUCAACCUGGGAACUGCAUUUGUGACUGCACGGCUGGAGUGCGGCAGAGGGGGAUGGAAUUCCGCGUGUAGCAGUGAAAUGCGUAGAUAUGCGGAGGAACACCGAUGGCGAAGGCAAUCCCCUGGGCCUGCACUGACGCUCAUGCACGAAAGCGUGGGGAGCAAACAGG
rnacentral:rRNA from 1 species